CAUUACACANAUAUGNAGCCGGACUGGGAUAGGGCCUCGCUGCCUUGCCCGUCUGGCGCCAUAUUCACCCAUGUCUUUUUGCGUACUACUUGUUUCCUUGGCGGGUCCGCCCGCCAAUUGGACCUUAUUCAAACCUUUUUUUCAGUUGCAAUCAGCGUCAGCAAAACAAAUGUAAUCAAUUACAACUUUCAACAACGGAUCUCUUGGUUCUGGCAUCGAUGAAGAACGCAGCGAAAUGCGAUAAGUAGUGUGAAUUGCAGAAUUCAGUGAAUCAUCGAAUCUUUGAACGCACAUUGCGCCCUUUGGUAUUCCAAAGGGCAUGCCUGUUCGAGCGUCAUUUGUACCCUCAAGCUUUGCUUGGUGUUGGGCGUCUUGUCUCUCUCCCGAGACUCGCCUUAAAAUCAUUGGCAGCCGGCCUACUGGUUUCGGAGCGCAGCACAUUAUUUGCGCUCUUGUCCAGCCGCGGUCGCGCGUCCAUGAAGCUUCUUUCAACCUUUUGACCUCGGAUCAGGUAGGGAUACCCGCUGAACUUAAGCAUNAUCAAUAAAACG
rnacentral:rRNA from 1 species